rnacentral:misc_RNA from 1 species
AAGUCGUAACAAGGUUGCCGUCGGGGAACCAGCGGCAGGAUCAUUAGUGCUUUGAACAAGAGCGAUGCUGUGGUGUGAUUUAGAGAUUGGGUUCUUAUGAGCCCGUCUUUCUGUUUUAUGAACGAUUUUUCAGCGAGAGAAUGCUAUACUGUUAGUGACACAACUGGCAACGGCGGAUCUCUUGGCUCGU